CACGACUCCCUUAACUCUGGUGCAGGGUUUACCUCGGCUCCCUCGGGACGGGUUCCGUGCAGCUCCUGCUUCCUCCCUUCUCUUUCCCAGUGCCAUCCCUGGCGAGGGGGAAAAAAAAAAACACGGCCAGGAGACUUCCCACCCCUGCUUUGCUAUUUUUGUACCUCCGUGACAGAAAAACAAAACCCUGAGGAAAAGUCAGGCGACUUCAUUCCCUGCCGUCCGCGCCGGGGCCUCGACUACUGCUGGCGUCCGCGGCUUUCGCCCGCCGCUCCACAGGUGGAUAAAACCUUGUAUGCAUCAACUACCUCUCUUUCAAGAUGGAAUUUUCAGAACACAUGGUCUGGGAUUGGAGCUGGAGCUUGGAAAUAUUGAGUGGGUGAGAAAGACUUCAUUGUUUUGUGACAGGUUAUUGUGAAAACAGCCCACUUCUGCCUGAAGAUCCAAGCCCAAGGCCUUCCUGGCCCCAGGGAUUUUGGGAUUCUUAAGAGCAAAAGAAGGAAAGAAAACAUGAGAGACUUUGGUACUGGGUACGAGCAUGAAAAGAGAAGGAUUGGUAAAAAAUAUCUCUUGGGAGCUCCUGCUGUGAUGCGAGGGUUAGUCCUGCCAUCCCAGGGCAAACUUCAUAAAAGAGGUCAGAUCCAAAGAUUGCAGAAGCCAGAAGAGACACUGCAUCCUUCCUGGUUAGGCCUGGUUAUGCCAGCUUCCUGGACUCUGCUGGCUGGUUGCCUCAAUCCAUGCCUCAGAUUGGGUGGAGUCUACAGAUUGAGGGCAAAUCCCACCUCCUCCCAACCCCCACCACUAGGCCUAUCUGGAAGACAGAAAAGAGCAGCAAGAAAUCUCAGGGAUUUUCUUUGAUUACUCAGAGGGAAAUAGUUUUCAUACUCAGAGACUGAUAGGCAGUCAAUAACAUUUGCUUUGUGAAUUUUCACCCAGCUACUUCUGGAUGAGAUAAUCACCUUUGCUGCUAAAGAAAAUCUUAGCUCAUUUUCUUCUUGGGGUGAUGGUAUAAGAGUUGAUAAACAAUUUGUAAGUAUUUAUCAUCUGGCAUAUUUAACAAAAUAUCUUUGUGAUCCAUAAAGCAAGGCAUAAAUUACAUUUGAAAGUGCAUUCCAUUAAACAAGAACAUUAGAGAGAAAGAGAGAGAGAGAGACACUUUGGACCUUGAUCUGUUCCAAUGACAUAGAAACUUGCUUUACAGAUUGGCUUUCUCCUAGUGCACUAUUGCAAAAUUAGAGCUAUACUAGAAACAUCCUUAGAGUUUGAUAAUUGAAUUACAGUGGAGAAAAAUAAGGUUUAUAUUUCUUAACUAUACCUUUGAAUUUCUUACUACUACAGAGGAUAAUUUUCCUGGUCCCUGGGGUUAGUGGUGAAAAACUAAUUGUUUUAUUAAAUUCAUGCCUCAUUCUUGUGACCCCAGAUUUUCGAAUUUGAAUAGGAAUGCAGUCAAGGGGUGAAUUCUGACAUCUUCAUUCUUUACUUAGCUCUUAAAAGCCAAGAUACUUUAUAUUACUUGUUUAUACUAAUCUUUGAUCACAAUAUAUUUACAUUGCUGGCAAGUAAAGUCUCUUAAUAAUAUAGCAGCAAAUAUUAGCUCUUCAUUCAAAAUUGUUAUUAUUCGGGAGUACUAUACAUGGUCUCUUACAUUAGGAUUUAUGAAAGUAGGAAUUAAUUAUGUUUAUUUAAUUCAAACAAGUGUUUUUCUCAAAGUAAUGAGUGUUAUGAAGGGAACUUAUUUGACCACAUACAACCCUGAGAUUCUUAUCUUUUUGGCAAAUAGCACUAACUGUGGAAAAGCUUAAGAUCAGUGGGGUUGUCGGUUUCCCCACACGUUGAGUUGAUGAUAGGUUAUAAUAAAAAUAUCAGACCAAAUUCUGCCACUUAUAUAGGCAUGUAUUAAACAUGUAUUUGUAAGCAAGUAUACAACAGUUCAUAGAAUAAGAUAAAAACCUAGCUCUCUGUCCUCUUUAGUGCUCUAAUGACUUCAAGCUGGCUCAACAAUAUUCCAGAGGCAAGAUUCUAUUACUCUUAUAGUUAGCAUCGGAAAUCCAAUGGAUGGACACUGGAUUCUUUGAGGAUCAAGCUUGAGGUGCCAAGCAUGGGAUGCAUUUCUGAAAUAUUUGAGUUUAAUCGUAUAUCUUGAAUACCACUUAUUAUUCCAGUGAGAUCUGAUUGAUGAUUAACUUAUUGAACAAGUCACUAAUUUUACCAAUGAAAAUAUAUUUCUGAUGUUUACUUUGCUAAUUAGCAAGACAUCUGGGUUUGGUAUACACAUCUGGUGAGAGAUGAAGGGCAGAAAUUGAGGCACAGAAACAAUAAGUGGUUUCCCUUAAGAUCAGAUAGCUAGUAAGUGUCUCAGCUUGUUUGUGCAUCCCACAGUGAGGAGCCUGUGUUUUUUUAAAUCUCUCUGGAUUAGUUGUGCUGGUAAGUUCUCUAGAAGCAACUUGACUCCACUGUUUUGAGGGCAGAAAUAAAAUGAACAGGCUAUAAUUGAGGUUGUAGAAGAGAUAAAAGAAAAUCUGUGAUGCAAGUAACUACACAGAGUCCUGUCUGUGAAAUGCAGGAGGCUGUCCAUAACUAAAGGCAUCUACCUUUAGAAAGGCAGUAUCAGAUUGUCACUUAUCUUGAUGGUCAUGAGAUAGGGAUGUUCUGGUUAAUAAAAUAUUCUAGUUAGUAGAGAUUCUCAGUAGACUCUAUACUCUAAUUUCUCAUUUAAAAGAAAUUGGACUCUUACAAAAUAAACAUGAUAUGAACCCAGAAUUUAACUUACUAUUUUCUUACUGUUAUCCCAAAGACAUUACAUGAUAUUGAACACUUUGAGGUAAUUAUGGUACUGGGGGAGCAUAAUUGUUCCUACUAAUAGAAACAAAAUACUAAGGAUUUUUCUAGAAACUCUUAAGAGCCAUUUACCUGGCUAAGGAUUUUUCUAGAAACUGUCCUUUCAAGAGCCAUUUACCUGGAAUAAAAGUGAUGUGUAUGAUAAACAGUUGGCUAUACAGACCCAAGAUGAAAUUCAAAAUAUGACUUCUGAAAAUUCUGAAUUCAAAAUCAAGUUUUUGAUACUUUAGGAUCAGCUAGAUGAUCAUCAUAAAUUUGUCUCCUUUCCACUUCAAUUUUUUUUCAUCUUCACCAAUCUACACUAUAUUCAAGCCAACUUACCAUUUCCCUUACUCCGUUUUCCCUGCAACUUCCCUAAGCUGUUAGUGUUAUUGUACUACUCUUCUUUAUGCCACUUAGGCUUGAAUUCUUGGCCCAAUUUCUCUCACUUCUGCAUGAAGUCACCAAAUGCCAGUGAUUCUGCUUCUAACAUAUUUCAGACAUCAUUUCUGUCCAUUCCCACUACCAGAAAGAAACUCUGUGUUAGUUUUUCUUUUACCUUUAUUGACUUUUUAUAAUAGCAUUUAUGGCGUGUUGAAUUGUGGCCCCCCAAAAAUAUGUCCAAGUCUUAACCCUGGUGCCUAUAAAUGUGACCUUAUUUGGGAAAAGAGUCUCACAGAUGAAAUUAAGUUAAAGAUCUUACCCUGGAUUAACCAGGUAGAUGCUAAAUCGAAUAAAAAAGUGUCUGUACAGGAAGAGAAGAGGAGAAUCACAGAGAAGAAAGCCAUGUGAAGAUGGUAACAGACACUGGAGUCUGUAACCCCAAGUGUAAUGCGACGGGUUCUCCACCAGGUUACUUAAGGGUGUAUGUCCACUGCUUGAGCCCUGAAGACUGGGUGGUGAGCCAAGGUCAUGGUGCUCAGCCAAGGAACACCAUGUGCUGUGUUCCCUGAGAACACAAACAUUUGGGAGAGUACCUGGGGACAUACCAAGAAAAACACUCAUCACACACAGAGAAGAAAAGCCAGAAAAUUAGCUUAAAAGCAGCUUGAAGAUGGGUGGGGUAAGGGGGUGUGUGGGGCAAAUCUCCAGAGUUGUCCUGCUACCACCUAGGAAUGCCCUGUAUGUUAAGUCCUAAUAAACUCA
rnacentral:lncRNA from 1 species